UCUGCGACGAUGCACGGUGGUCCAAGCAAGGAGUGCGUCAGGAAGCCGGUGGGAGUCCGGCACGGCCGGCGCCACUGUGACCGGGGAGCGGACCUCCCCCGCGAGCCACCGGGGCGACCUGGGAAGGCCGGAGGGACGCGGCGAGCCGGGAGUCAGGACACUGCCACCCCUUGUUCCCACCA
rnacentral:ncRNA from 2 species